rnacentral:lncRNA from 10 species
AAACACCCAACCGCGCAGCCCACGCUGCGGGGCCACGACUUGGCCGGAUUUAUGUUCAUGGCUGAGGAUGCCAUGGGCCGAGUAAGAAGGAGAACCGCCACCCAACCACGCAGCCAAGAGCAACCCAGGGAUCCCUCCUCUGCUUGCUCCCCUCCCCCACCCCUGCUGUACCUUCUGCGCAGCCAUCUCGGUAACGGGCGUCAGGGGCGCUCGGCGGCCUGCUGUCCAAGCUGGGGUCAGGAGCCUGGCGGUAGCAAAGAGCAUCACCGAAAGGAAGCUGGUAGGCUAGCGAGGCCAGCCCCAAAGACCCACAGAUACACGCGCUGCUCCGAACUCGCGGGCCCGCGGCGUCCACUAAUGAGAUGAACCUGGGCGCGCAGCGGCUGGACCUCAGCUGCUAGGGCGCCGCCAAGGCCCUGCUGGACACCUUCUGGUACCUGGGCCUCGUGUAUUACACCUGUGGCUGCCGCCGAGGCGCGGUUCAAUUUGAAGUCUGAGCCCCUACAGGCCCGUGAAUCCUGGAUUACAACUGCAGUUUGUGCAAGAAGCAGCAGCACCUGCACUUCCACUUAGCAACCUCCGGCUUCACGCUCCUCCAGGGCGCAGAGAGCAUCAAAGCAUUAUCACCGACCCAACACACACCGGCGCUGCGUAGUUUCUGCAGCAGGUGUGGGGUGAAGAGUUGCCACACAGCUGUCUGACACCGGGUGUACGGCGUCACCCCUCACUUCCUGGACAAGGCAACAUUUUCCUAAAGGUAAAGACCAUGAACAUGUAGAGGCCCCCUUACUCUCAUGCUAGUCCGCAUUCAGCCGGAAGCAAUUCAGCAAAUUUGCCAUUUAAGUGACGCCCUGGAUCUGUCUUUCAGAGUAGUGGCUUACCCUGCAGCCUCAUUUCUCUGAUAAGUAUUUUUUUAAAGCCAUUGAUUCAGUUUGUUCAUCUUUUUCUUGUUGGAAGAAGGGGGUGGGGUGACAAUUUCCAGCUUCUUUACAUGAAAGAGCUGAAACCAGAAGUCUCGCUUGUGACCAUUUUUGCAAUAUACUACAAUCACUAUAAGCCUAUGAUUUAGAAAUAUCAUGGUAAAUGCCUGAGAAGCAGAAAAAAUAGUUGAAAGAAGUUUUCUCAGGGAGCCAGAGCAGGAGUGGGGGCGAGUAUGGAUUUAGAUUCAAAUGAUUUCUGGUUUCAUUAAAGGCUAGUGUUAUUCUUUAAGAACUUUUAAGAUCAUGUAUGUAUAUUAUUUUGAGAAAAUUAAAGAAUAAGUGAUGCA